rnacentral:rRNA from 1 species
AUUGAACGCUGGCGGCAGGCCUAACACAUGCAAGUCGAACGAGAGGCGGACGGGAGAGUAAGGGGGGGGAAACUGCCUGAUGGAGGGGGAUCACUACUGGAAACGGGAGACAAUAAGGAACACCAUCAGAUGGGCCCAGAUGGGAUGAGCUUGUUGGUGGUGUAAAGUCUCACCAAGGGUACGAUCCCUAGCUGGUCUGAGAGGAUGACCGGCCACACUGGAACGGGGACACGGUCCGUACUCCUACGGGAGGCAGCAGUGGGGAAUAUUGCACAAUGGGCGCAAGCCUGAUCCACCCAUGCCGCGUGUGUGAAGACGGCCUUCGGGUUGUAAAGUACUUUCAGCGGGGAGGCGUUACCCGCAGAAGAAGCCCCCUCUAACUACGUGCUAGCAGCCGCGGGAAUAC